rnacentral:lncRNA from 1 species
UUCAUUUGUCGCUUCGUCAACAGUGUAAUGACAACAUUAUAGAUUUGACUGUUUAAAACAUACCAUUCUGUUACUGCAUAAAUUUUUAUUAUUAUGAAAGGAGAAACAACAUUCUAACACAUUUAUCAUGUCGAAAAGGGAUGUUAACGCGAUUGUCUGCGGAACAGAUUGUUUCAAAUGGUCUUGCUUGAUAUUCUGGACAAUGGUAGGAAUAAUUUUUAUCUUAGUAGCUGAAGUUAUUCACAGUUUUACAUGCGACCCAGGAGAUGUUGCUUCACGAAAUGGAUUGAUAGCUUUACCCAUUGUAGGAUGUUUCUGCGUAUUUUGUAGUGGACUGAGUAUGUUUUCAAAAAUGGGAGAAAGAUUCUGCCUGAAAGUUGUUUGUUCCUUGAUAUGGAUUUCCAUAGGAGUGUCAUGUAUUAUAAUUUCGUGUGUACUUAUCUCCAGAAACUGCAGUAAACACUUCGAAAUUAACAUUUUGAUUAUUAUAGGAAUUGUCUCAACACUGAUUGCUGGUUCUGUGGCCGGGAUUUUGAUAAAUAAAGGAACGCCAUGUCGUAAACAAUCAGGCGAAAAAUCCAAAAUUAUUAAAAAAUCUAACAAAAGAUAAGGCAAGAAAUGAAAGUUGAAUCAGAAAUGUGCUGUGGACUAUAGAAAAUAAGGUUGUGUCAAGUGUGUGAAAGUCUAUAUUUUUGCGAUAAUUGACUGUUACAUAACUUGAAAUUGUUAGACGUUAUACACAAUUAAGGUAUACAGUUUAGUUAUAAUUAUGGGUAUAGUUAUGCAAACGUCGUGUGUCUUUAAUUAUUCUUUAACCUUCUGCAACGAACAUCAAACAUUUUACACAGGUAUUGUUUAUAUUUGUAGCUAUUUAUUUAAAAAAAAAAGAUACUUUUUACAUGACUGAUUAUACUUGCUUGGCAAAUUCAAUAAUUAUCCCUUAGU